UGCUGACAUGUUAUGCAUGGAAUCAACCUGCUAACUGAUGUGUUAUGUUAUAUAGAUGACGUGUCAUCCACAUCAUUAAGCAUGGAAGAAUGGCAUGAAAAUGUAGAGUAGAAAGGAGACAGAGCGAUGGAGAUGGAGAGAGAGAGCUUUUAAGGAGAAGGGUUGAAGAGGGUGAGGGUUGAGGCCAAAGUCCCACCUUUGAAACCCUAAAUCUGAUGAAGUUAGCCAG
rnacentral:lncRNA from 1 species